AGUUCGUCUGUUCUGAUUGCGAAUAUUUUGAUACUUUUUCAAAUUUACAAGGUAUUGGUGUAUUGUUCUUCUCAUUGGAGCUUUUAGCUAAUUAAGUAUUUGUUUCAUUAAUAAAAAAACUCUGAUGAUCGUCCUGAGAACCUGAUUGCCGGUCGUUUUGUAAUCUUAAAAAACAAAUACGAGCUCUGAAUACGAGUAGGAAUGUCAUCAGAUGAAGAAGCGCGAGUCUGGUUAAGAGAACACUUUCUGCGAACACUAACCAAACUCAAUGGAGUGGAAGCUGUUUUCACUAUGCAUGAAAAUAUUACAGUUACUGGUCAAUAUGAAUGCUCCAGUGCUGAUUUAAAAUAUUUUCAUGUCUCUGGCCUAAAAACUCCUUUGGGGAACUGUAAACAAUCUCUUUUGAGAUCUAGUGAUGUAAUCAGCAUUGAUUUCAAAACACCUUCCAGUCUAUUCCCUUUACCAGUUUCAACUACUGUUUCCAAAGAUUGUUUACAGAGUCAAUAAAUUUGUUUGGUUCAA